GAUUAACGUUGGCAGUGCGCCUAACACAUGCAAGUCGAGCGAUAUAGCGGCAGACGAGAGAGUAAUAGUAAGGAACUUACCCCCGAGUGAAGGAUAGCCAGCCGAAAGGUUGGGUAAUCCUGCAUAAUAUCGAAAGAUCAAAGCCUUCGGGCGCUUGGGGAGAGGCCUUACUCCUAUCAGCUUGUUGGUGAGGUAAUGGCUCACCAAGGCGAUGACGGGUAGCUGGUCUGAGAGGAUGAUCAGCCUCGAUGGGACUGAGACACGGCCCAUACUCCUACGGGAGGCAGCAGUUGGGGAUUUUGCACAAUGGAGGAAACUCUGAUGCAGCGACACUGCGUGAAGGAUGAAGGUUCUAGGAUCGUAAACUUCUUUUAUCAGGGAGUAAUCUUGAAAGUACCUGUGAAUAAGGACCGGCUAACUACGUG
rnacentral:rRNA from 1 species